rnacentral:rRNA from 1 species
UACGUAGGGGCAAGCGUUGUCCGGAAUCAUUGGGCGUAAAGAGCGCGUAGGCGGCCCUGUAAGUCCGCUGUGAAAGUCAAGGGCUCAACCCUUGGAUGCCGGUGGAUACUGCAGGGCUAGAGUCCGGAAGAGGCGAGUGGAAUUCCUGGUGUAGCGGUGAAAUGCGCAGAUAUCAGGAGGAACACCGAUGGCAAAGGCAGCUCGCUGGGACGGUACUGACGCUGAGGCGCGAAAGCGUGGGGAGCGAACAGG